CAGAGACGUGGCUAAGGUAGGACUGAUCAGAGACAUGGCUAAGGUAGGACUGAUCAGAGAGACAGAGACGUGGCUAAGGUAGGACUGAUCAGAGACAUGGCUAAGGUAGGACUGAUCAGAGACGUGGCUAAGGUAGGACUUAUCAGAGAGACAGAGACAUGGCUAAGGUAGGACUGAUCAGAGACAUGGCUAAGGUAGGACUGAUCAGAGACAUGGCUAAGGUAGGACUGAUCAGAGACGUGGCUAAAGUAGGACUGAUCAGAGACAUGGCUAAGGUAGGACUGAUCAGAGACAUGGCUAAGGUAGGACUGAUCAGAGACGUGGCUAAGGUAGGACUGAUCAGAGACAUGGCUAAGGUAGGACUGAUCAGAGAGACAGAGACGUGGCUAAGGUAGGACUGAUCAGAGACAUGGCUAAGGUAGGACUGAUCAGAGAGACAGAGACAUGGCUAAGGUAGGACUGAUCAGAGACAUGGCUAAGGUAGGACUGAUCAGAGACAUGGCUAAGGUAGGACUGAUCAGAGACAUGGCUAAGGUAGGACUGAUCAGAGACAUGGCUAAGGUAGGACUGAUCAGAGACAUGGCUAAGGUAGGACUGAUCAGAGACGUGGCUAAGGUAGGACUGAUCAGAGACGUGGCUAAGGUAGGACUGAUCAGAGAGACAGAGACAUGGCUAAGGUAGGACUGAUCAGAGAGACAGAGACGUGGCUAAGGUAGGACUGAUCAGAGACAUGGCUAAGGUAGGACUGAUCAGAGACGUGGCUAAGGUAGGACUGAUCAGAGAGACAGAGACAUGGCUAAGGUAGGACUGAUCAGAGACAUGGCUAAGGUAGGACUGAUCAGAGACAUGGCUAAGGUAGGACUGAUCAGAGACAUGGCUAAGGUAGGACUGAUCAGAGACAUGGCUAAGGUAGGACUGAUCAGAGACAUGGCUAAGGUAGGACUGAUCAGAGACGUGGCUAAGGUAGGACUGAUCAGAGACGUGGCUAAGGUAGGACUGAUCAGAGACGUGGCUAAGGUAGGACUGAUCAGAGACGUGGCUAAGGUAGGACUGAUCAGAGACAUGGCUAAGGUAGGACUGAUCAGAGAGACAGAGACGUGGCUAAGGUAGGACUGAUCAGAGACAUGGCUAAGGUAGGACUGAUCAGAGACGUGGCUAAGGUAGGACUUAUCAGAGAGACAGAGACAUGGCUAAGGUAGGACUGAUCAGAGACAUGGCUAAGGUAGGACUGAUCAGAGACAUGGCUAAGGUAGGACUGAUCAGAGACGUGGCUAAGGUAGGACUGAUCAGAGACAUGUCUAAGGUAGGACUGAUCAGAGACAUGGCUAAGGUAGAACUGAUCAGAGACGUGGCUAAGGUAGGACUGAUCAGAGACGUGGCUAAGGUAGGACUGAUCAGAGACAUGGCUAAGGUAGGACUGAUCAGAGACAUGGCUAAGGUAGGACUGAUCAGAGAGACAGAGACGUGGCUAAGGUAGGACUGAUCAGAGACAUGGCUAAGGUUGGACUGAUCAGAGACGUGGCUAAGGUAGGACUGAUCAGAGACGUGGCUAAGGUAGGACUGAUCAGAGAGACAGAGACAUGGCUAAGGUAGGACUGAUCAGAGACAUGGCUAAGAUAGGACUGAUCAGAGACAUGGCUAAGGUAGGACUGAUCAGAGACAUGGCUAAGGUAGGACUGAUCAGAGACAUGGCUAAGGUAGGACUGAUCAGAGACAUGGCUAAGGUAGGACUGAUCAGAGACGUGGCUAAGGUAGGACUGAUCAGAGACGUGGCUAAGGUAGGACUGAUCAGAGACGUGGCUAUGGUAGGACUGAUCAGAGACAUGGCUAAGGUAGGACUGAUCAGAGAGACAGAGACGUGGCUAAGGUAGGACUGAUCAGAGACAUGGCUAAGGUAGGACUGAUCAGAGACGUGGCUAAGGUAGGACUUAUCAGAGAGACAGAGACAUGGCUAAGGUAGGACUGAUCAGAGACAUGGCUAAGGUAGGACUGAUCAGAGACAUGGCUAAGGUAGGACUGAUCAGAGACGUGGCUAAGGUAGGACUGAUCAGAGACAUGGCUAAGGUAGGACUGAUCAGAGACAUGGCUAAGGUAGGACUGAUCAGAGACGUGGCUAAGGUAGGACUGAUCAGAGACGUGGCUAAGGUAGGACUGAUCAGAGACGUGGCUAAGGUAGGACUGAUCAGAGACGUGGCUAAGGUAGG